CUCCUUUGACGUUAGCGGCGGACGGGUGAGUAACACGUGGGUAACCUACCUAUAAGACUGGGAUAACUUCGGGAAACCGGAGCUAAUACCGGAUAAUAUUUCGAACCGCAUGGUUCGAUAGUGAAAGAUGGUUUUGCUAUCACUUAUAGAUGGACCCGCGCCGUAUUAGCUAGUUGGUAAGGUAACGGCUUACCAAGGCGACGAUACGUAGCCGACCUGAGAGGGUGAUCGGCCACACUGGAACUGAGACACGGUCCAGACUCCUACGGGAGGCAGCAGUAGGGAAUCUUCCGCAAUGGGCGAAAGCCUGACGGAGCAACGCCGCGUGAGUGAUGAAGGUCUUCGGAUCGUAAAACUCUGUUAUUAGGGAAGAACAUACGUGUAAGUAACUGUGCACGUCUUGACGGUACCUAAUCAGAAAGCCACGGCUAACUACGUGCCAGCAGCCGCGGUAAUACGUAGGUGGCAAGCGUUAUCCGGAAUUAUUGGGCGUAAAGCGCGCGUAGGCGGUUUUUUAAGUCUGAUGUGAAAGCCCACGGCUCAACCGUGGAGGGUCAUUGGAAACUGGAAAACUUGAGUGCAGAAGAGGAAAGUGGAAUUC
rnacentral:rRNA from 1 species